rfam:Acidobacteria bacterium 13_1_20CM_3_53_8 13_1_20cm_3_scaffold_36, whole genome shotgun sequence.
GCCGGAGUGAUGAAAUUGGUAUACAUAGCAGACUCAAAAUCUGCCGUCCGCAAGGGCAUGGGGGUUCGACUCCCCCCUCCGGCA